GAUGAACGCUGGCGGUAUGCUUAACACAUGCAAGUCGAACGGGCUCUUCGGAGUUAGUGGCGGACGGGUGAGUAACGCGUGAGAAUCUGGCCUUGGGUUCGGGACAACCACUGGAAACGGUGGCUAAUACCGGAUGUGCCGAGAGGUAAAAGAGAAAUUGCCUGAAGAUGAGCUCGCGUCUGAUUAGCUAGUUGGUGAGGUAAAGGCUCACCAAGGCAGCGAUCAGUAGCUGGUCUGAGAGGAUGACCAGCCACACUGGGACUGAGACACGGCCCAGACUCCUACGGGAGGAAGCAGUGGGGAAUGUUCCGGAAUGGGCGAAAGCCUGACGGAGCAAUACCGCGUGAGGGAAGAAGGCUCUUGGGUUGUAAACCUCUUUUCUUAGGGAAGAACAAAAUGACGGUACCUAAGGAAUCAGCAUCGGCUAACUCCGUG
rnacentral:rRNA from 1 species